AAUGUUUACUAUUUAAACAGCUGCAAUUUGACAUGCAUAGGAAAAUAGAGAAUUGAAACAAUUGGUCUCAGAAACACAAACUAAUAUUGCUAUUUUAAAGUCUGAGAUGAGUCAGUUAAAGAACCAGUAUGAGAGUAGAGUUGAAGAAUUAACAAGGUAAACAGAACAGAGCCGCCAUUUAGAUGGAUAGUACACACACUG